GACGAACGCUGGCGGCGUGCUUAACACAUGCAAGUCGAACGGAAAGGCCCUGCUCUUGUGGGGUGCUCGAGUGGCGAACGGGUGUGUAUCACGUGAGUAGCCUGUCCUUGACUUUGGGGUAACUUCAGGGAACUGGGGCUAAUACAGGACAUGAGCUCCUUCUGCAUGGUGGUGGAUGGUGAAUUGCGGCGGUUGGGGAUGGAAUUGCGGCCUAUCAGUUUGUUGGUGAGGUAGUGGCGUACCAAGGCUUCGACGGGUAGCCGGCCUGAGAGGGUGACAGGCCACAUUGGGACUGGGGAGGGAGCAAGACGGCAACGGGGGGCAGGAGCGGGAGUCAGACCAAGAUGGGCGGAGUCAGGAUGCAGCAUCGCCGGGUCGGGGAUGACGGUCUGCGGGGUGGAAACCGCUUGCGCCUGGAACGAAGCGUGAGUGACGGUAAUGGGUAAAGAAGCACCGGCUAACUACGUG
rnacentral:rRNA from 1 species